rnacentral:rRNA from 1 species
UGCGAGUCGAGCGUUUCUAGCUAUGUUGAGACGCGGCAUACGGCUCAGUAACACGUGGCUAACCUACCCUCAGGACGGGGACAAACCCGGGAAACUGGGGCUAAUAUCCGAUAGGCGAGGAAUCCUGGAAUGGUUCUUCACCCAAAGGACAUUGGAAACAUGCUUUCUCUGUCGCCUGGGGAUGGGGCCGCGACCGAUCAGGUUGUUGGUGAGGUAAUGGCUCACCAAGCCUUUAACCGGUACGGGCCAUGAGAGUGGUAGCCCGGAGAUGGGUACUGAGACAAGGACCCAGGCCCUACGGGGCGCAGCAGUCGCGAAAACUCCGCAAUGCACGAAAGUGUGACGGGGCUACCCCGAGUGCCGUCCGCUGAGGAUGGCUUUUCCUUGGUGUAACUAGCCGGGGGAAUAAGGAGAGGGCAAGACUGGUGUCAGCCGCCGCGGUAAUACCAGCUCUCCGAGUGGUAGGGAUGAUUAUUGGGCUUAAAGCGUCCGUAGCCGGCUUAGCAAGUUUCCUGUUAAAUUCAGCGACCUAAUCGUUGAGCCGCGGGAAAUACUACUAGGCUAGGAGGCGGGAGAGGUCGACGGUACUUCUGGGGUAGGGGUGAAAUCCUAUAAUCCCGGGAGGACCACCAGUGGCGAAGGCUGUCGACUAGAACGCGCUCGACGGUGAGGGACGAAAGCUGGGGGAGCGAACCGGAUUAGAUACCCGGGUAGUCCCAGCUGUAAACGAUGCGGGCUAGGUGUUGGGGUGGCUACGUGCCACUUCAGUGCCGCAGGAAGCCAUUAAGCCCGCCGCCUGGGGAGUACGGCCGCAAGGCUGAAACUUAA